rnacentral:rRNA from 1 species
GACAGAGGUGCCGAGCGUUAGGCGGAAUCACUGGGCUUAAAGCGUGUGUAGGCGGGCGGGCAAGUACCUUGUGAAAUCCCACGGCUCAACCGUGGAACGGCUGGGUAUACUGCCUGUCUUGAGCCAACUAGGGGCGAGCGGAACAGACGGUGGAGCGGUGAAAUGCGUUGAGAUCGGAAGGAACGCCCAUGGCGAAAGCGAGGUCCUGGACGUCUACUGACGCUGAGACGCGAAAGCUAGGGUAGCGAACGGG